rnacentral:rRNA from 1 species
UACGAAGGAGGCUAGCGUUGCUCGGAAUCACUGGGCGUAAAGCGCACGUAGGCCGAUUGUUAAGUCAGGGGUGAAAUCCUGGAGCUCAACUCCAGAACUGCCCUUGAUACUGACGGUCUCGAGUCCGGGAGAGGUGAGUGGAACUGCGAGUGUAGAGGUGAAAUUCGUAGAUAUUCGCAAGAACACCAGUGGCGAAGGCGGCUCACUGGCCCGGUACUGACGCUGAGGUGCGAAAGCGUGGGGAGCGAACAGG